rnacentral:rRNA from 1 species
GACGAACGCUGGCGGCGUGCUUAACACAUGCAAGUCGAACGGUGAAGCGCUUGCCUUUUUGGUGGGUGUGGAUGAGUGGCGAACGGGUGAGUAACACGUGAGUAACCUGCCCUCUUCUUCUGGAUAACCUCAUGAAAGUGGGGCUAAUACGGGGUAUUCCGGGUCUGUCGCAUGGCGGGUUUGGGAAAGAUUGCGCCUUUGGGUGUUUUCGGUGGGGGAUGGGCUCGCGGCCUAUCAGCUUGUUGGUGGGGUGAUGGCCUACCAAGGCGGUGACGGGUAGCCGGCCUGAGAGGGUGGACGGCCACACUGGGACUGAGACACGGCCCAGAGUCCUGCGGGAGGCAGCGGUGGGGAAUAUUGCACAAUGGGGGCAAGCCUGAGGCAGCGACGCCGCGUGAGGGAUGGAGGCCUUCGGGUUGUGAACCUCUUUCGCCAGUGAAGCAGGCCUGCUCCUGUGUGGGUGGGUUGACGGUAGCUGGAUAAGAAGCGCCGGCUAACUACGUG